UCUUCGCUAGUACAUCGGUUAGUAUCCCCGCUUUUCAAUAGGUUGUCAUCUUGACAGCUCGAGGAUCGCGGUAGAGCGGGGUUCGACUCCCCGGCGGAGAA